rnacentral:rRNA from 1 species
GACGAACGCUGGCGGCGUGCUUAACACAUGCAAGUCGAACGGAAAGGCCCUGCUUGCAGGGUACUCGAGUGGCGAACGGGUGAGUAACACGUGGGUGAUCUGCCCUGCACUUCGGGAUAAGCCUGGGAAACUGGGUCUAAUACCGGAUAGGAGCCAUUUUUAGUGUGAUGGUUGGAAAGUUUUUUCGGUGUAGGAUGAGCUCGCGGCCUAUCAGCUUGUUGGUGGGGUAAUGGCCUACCAAGGCGGCGACGGGUAGCCGGCCUGAGAGGGUGGACGGCCACAUUGGGACUGAGAUACGGCCCAGCCUCCGACGGGAGGCAGCAGCGGGGAAUAUUGCACAAUGGGCGCAAGCCUGAUGCAGCGACGCCGCGUGGGGGAGGACGGCCUUCGGGUUGUAAACUCCUUUCGCUAGGGACGAAGCUUUUUGUGACGGUACCUAGAUAAGAAGCACCGGCUAACUACGUG